rnacentral:rRNA from 1 species
UACGGGGGGGGCAAGCGUUGUUCGGAAUUACUGGGCGUAAAGGGCUCGUAGGCGGCCAACUAAGUCAGACGUGAAAUCCCUCGGCUUAACCGGGGAACUGCGUCUGAUACUGGAUGGCUUGAGUUUGGGAGAGGGAUGCGGAAUUCCGGUGUAGCGGUGAAAUGCGUAGAUAUCUGGAGGAACACCGGUGGCGAAGGCGGCAUCC